CCCCCCCCCACACUGGGACUGAGACACUGCCCAGGUUCCUACGGGAGGCUGCAAUCGAGAAUCCUCCGCAAUGGGCGAAAGCCUGACGGGGUAACGCCGCGUGACUGAUGAAGGCCCUUACGGGUCGUAAAAGUCUUACAGGGAAUACGAAAGAUAUUAUGGUUAAUACCCAUUUUAUUUGACAUUAAUCCCAGAUGAAGUCACGGCUAAAUAUGUGCCAGCAGCCGCGGUAAGUCAUAUGUGGCAAGCGUUGUUCGGAAUCACUGGGCAUAAAGAGCACGUAGGCGGUGAAGUAAGUUAACUGUGAAAUCCCCCGGCUUAACUGGGGAAUUGCAGUUAAUACUGCUUUAUUAGAGUACAGGAGGGGAGAGUGGAAUUCUAGGUGUAGCGGUGGAAUGCGAAGAUAUCUAGGAGAAGGCCGUUGGCGAAAGCGACUCUCUAGCCUGUUACUGACGCUGAGGUGCGAAAGCGUAGGUAGCGAACGGGAUUAGAUACCCCGGUAGUCUACGCCGUAAACGAUGGGCACUAGAUGGUGGGAGCGCCGAUAGUUCUCUCCGUCGCAGCUAAUGCGUUAAGUGCCCCGCCUGGGGAGUAUGGCCGCAAGGUUAAAACUCAAAGGAAUUGACGGGGGCCCACACAAGCGGUGGAGGAUGUGGCUUAAUUCGAGUAUACGCGUAGAACCUUAUCCAGGUCUUGACAUUCCGGGAUUAACCUGUUGAAAGACAGGGGAUUGCCUUACGGUGUAACCGGAACAGGUGCUGCAUGGCUGUCGUCAGCUCGUGUCGUGAGAUGUUAGGUUAAGUCCUGUAACGAGCGAAACCCCUGUGCUUAGUUGCCAGCGCGUUAUGGCGGGGACUCUGAGCAGACUGCCCCGGCCAACGGGGAGGAAGGUGGGGAUGACGUCAAGUCAGCAUGGCCCUUAUGACCUGGGCCGCACACGUCCUACAAUGGGCAGUACAAUGAGUCCCGAUACCGCGAGGUGGAGGAAAUCUCGAAAGCUGCUCUCAGUUCAGAUUGCAGGCUGCAAUUCGCCUGCAUGAAGAUGGAAUCGCUAGUAAUCGCCGGUCAGCAUACGGCGGUGAAUACGUCCCUGGGCCUUGUACACACCGCCCGUCAAGCCACCCGAGUUGGGUAUACCCGAAAUCCGAGAUCUAGCCGCAAGGAGGACUCGGCUGAAGGUAGAUCUGAUGAGGUGGACUAAGUCGUAACAAGGUA
rnacentral:rRNA from 1 species